UACGUAGGUGGCAAGCGUUGUCCGGAUUUACUGGGCGUAAAGAGCGCGCAGGCGGUCGUUCAAGUCGCGUGUGAAAGCCCCCGGCUCAACUGGGGAGGGUCACGCGAUACUGAUCGACUGGAAGGCAGGAGAGGGUAGUGGAAUUCCCGGUGUAGUGGUGAAAUGCGUAGAUAUCAGGAGGAACACCCGAGGCGAAGGCGGCUCUCUGGGUCGGACCUGACGCUGAGGCGCGAAAGCGUGGGGAGCGAACGGG
rnacentral:rRNA from 1 species